AUGCUCAGCUGCAGCAGCAGCAGCAGCAGCCCAGCAGAUUGCGCGAUCGGGGAAGAAGAAGAAGAAGAAGAAGAGGACCAGAAGGAUUUCACUGCACAUCCUUGUUGAGUUACGUAAUUCCUCGCCUCAGUCUCACUGUUUAUUUUGCUACUUCACCAGCUGCACAGUUGCCCCAACCUUUGAUAUUCUCUGAUUUUGCAAUUGCGUCAGGAGGAUUUGGGUUGCGAUUGAGAUUAGAGCUGGCCAUUCCGGUACAAUUGGAGAAAGGUUGCGUGCGUCGUAGUCAUUUCUGAAAAGCCCCAGAUUAUGGGAGUAAACAUGAAUUUGUGGGAGUCGAGAGUCGGUUUCGGCAACGUCUCUAGAGGGAGAAUAGGGACGUGAAUUGUAGGUGUGGUUGUAACUUUGGAGGCGGUGAUGAAGACAAGCUCGGCGUCGCGAUUGAGAGCCAAGCAGAUGCUCGGGCUUGUCGGAGGUGACGACGUUGCGCUGGGGAAUUAUUUGGACACGCAGCAGAACGGGAUGAUUGUGAGCGGGUCUCCCAAGCAAGUGAUUUACGAUCAUUUUCGCCACUGGAAGUUCCAACUUUGUGGGUCCCGUCAGCGAAGUGCUAUCUUUCGUUGACCUGAUUCUCCCGCAAGUAAGAAGCAAGCAAGUCUACCACGUUCAACGAAAAUGGUGCGUUUCAUGUUCGAUCGCUCAAAUGACAAACUGCUUAUUGUGCUUGGAUUUAUUUAUGCGCUUUCAUCGUGUUCAGUAAUCCUCUUUCUGAUGAUAAUUGCAAGCAUAGACAGCUAACGGGUUUUGUUGAGUGGUGAAGGCGCGUGCAGGGAUAUCGUUUGCUAUCCGGUAUGGUACUAACUUAGAUCAUUGAAAGGUUUUUUGAGCGUCGACGAUGUGACCCUUGGUGACCUUACUGAAGUGAAAGAGAACUGUUUUGAUAAAACAAUCACAACAAAGUUUAAGACAACACACAUUCAACGGGAGAACACACAGAUAGCUUUACUGAAAAGAAUUACACCAAGAUCGAGAUCCGUUCUCUCUCUGUCUUUGAGAGAUCCCACGAUACAGCUUCUAUGCCUACGACACGCUUCUCACCACGAAAAAACUAAGUAAUAUUCCACUUCGAAGAAUCAAGCCACGGCAUCCCACAGACUGCGUUGUUCACACAACCACCGCUCGCUGAAGCUCCUUGAAGCUCCUUGAAGAAUGUAAGAAUUUCAUCCUCUUUGUCAGGAUCUGCAAAUUCCUACAGGGUCUCAAAAGUCUUCGCGAUCGAUCUCGGAGCGAUUGCAUUCCUCUACCUUGUCCAUCCGACUGGUCCUUCGCCCCAUUGUCUCGAGCUUCAUGAAAUCCGUGCCUCGAGGGCGCUGCUCCCUCCGCACCCUCGCAAUAAAUAGAAGAGUUAAUCAAAAGCGUCGCCAAUUCCCUGUGCUUGAUCAUCCGCCGCUACCGCCUCUGCAGACGACAGGACGCCCGUUAGCGCAUUAAUGCGCAGCUCUCCCUUUGCUCCCUAUUAUCUGAGUCAGCAGACUCUGACAGAUGUGUUGCAUUGUGAUCGACUGUGAGUUCAGCAUCUGCUGCUACUUUUCACUCCACACAAUCCAUCAAGAGGAAGAUCUCUAGGAUGAAGUCCUCGUCCGUAGUGUGCACACUCUGCAGCAGGAUCGCCACGGUCGACACAAGCCUUAAUGCUUCAGCAACAGAGACUUUAUCUUCGAACCCCACAGUGGCGGUUGAGCCCGCAGUCCAUGCCUGAAUCUCGCAGAUCUAGAUCUAUAUUUAGAAUACAUGACACAAUACAACAAUCUCCACCUUGUCUUAUGUUCUAUAUAAAUUUGUUCAAUGUAGCAAUUCCUCAAAGUAUUCCCCUACUCACCGCAAUGGGCAUCAACAAGUUACAACACUAAUCAAGUCCAAGCAAAACUUGAACUUCUCACCAGGGACAGACUUCGUCAACAUGUCUGCAGCAUUCUCUCGUGUAUCAACCUUCUGCAAGGAAACUUCUCCUUUAGAAA